rnacentral:tRNA from 1 species
UAAAGUUUAGUUUAACAAAAACCUUAGUUUGUCAAGCUAAAGAUGGUUCACUAACCAACUUUAA